UACGUAGGGGCCUAGCGUUGUCCGGAUUUAUUGGGCGUAAAGAGCUCGUAGGCGGUUGGGUAAGUCGGGUGUGAAAACUCCAGGCUCAACUUGGAGACGCCACCCGAUACUGCUCUGACUUGAGUUCGGUAGGGGAGUGGGGAAUUCCUGGUGUAGCGGUGAAAUGCGCAGAUAUCAGGAGGAACACCGGUGGCGAAGGCGCCACUCUGGGCCGAAACUGACGCUGAGGAGCGAAAGCGUGGGUAGCAAACAGG
rnacentral:rRNA from 1 species